UAUCCUGCGAAGCGGCAGUCGUCGAGCGCGUUUCGAGUCGGUUGCACGUGGUCUUUUCCUUCGCUCUUCUCCUAAGGCUCGUUUUGUGUGUUUUGUGGAGGAGUGUUUAAGACAGUUAACGCGGGAGUUUCAUCUGCAUGCAGCAGAGUAGUUAGACGAUACUCGAAGAUAAACGGAAGAAUCGCUUCGUUCGCUGCUCAACUGAGGAUGAUAUGGUGAUGAUGUGUUUCGUGUGAAGGGAUGCAGACGGGUCGCCGCAAGUGCAAGUGAGUGCAUCUAAGCAUGAUGGGAAGCAAGUGCAGCAAGUGUAUCUAAAACACACGAGUCAAAGUGGAACGUGGGGUCUUGAUGCUCCUGAUGAUGCCGACAUUGCUUGGCUGUUGUCUGUCUGUUGGUUGGCCUCUGGGCUGUGAUUAGGAGCUAUUGGUGUACGUGCUGUGGUUCUUAAAUGAGGGGGAAUGCAACAACAGCAGCGGUUGGAAAUUGAUAUGUUCUAGUGUUUGCAACAGUGUGUCUUUGACGGAAGCCAAGCAGACGUGUGGAUUGGGACGAAAGGUUGAAAUGCAGCGGGUGAAGGGUUAAAGUGAACGAAACUAAAAGGAUUACAGAAGGAAAUAAAGAAAAGAUCGAUUUCCCGGCCAAAGAAGAAACUGCACUCGCCAGCAACUACUAUAACUACCAUCUGCAUCCGCAAUCAAGAGUGCAACAUCAAAGCAGUUCUAGUGAAUGCGCGAUCCAAUAUGAUGGACGAUGCUAUACAUAUGUGGAUGUGUAUCUGAGAAUCAUAAUCAUGGAUUUUGAUGACUUGGGGCGCUUUGAGGCAAAACAUCUUUGAAGAAACUUCGGUCGGAUAUAAAUCGUGGACGGUGAAUUCGAAUGCAGUGUUGCGUGGCUUAGAGCAGAACGAGAUUGGAGGAUUAUUAAUGUGCGGUGAAAUAUUGUCGCACUAAAGUGAGAAAACCUUCGAGUGGCUCCGAUUUACCAGACAUUAAUCACACGGUGGAACGACGAUUACAAAUGGCAAAUAUUUGAGUGAGUGUAACCGCAAACAUCGCUCACAACCCAUAAUCC